CGCGAGGGGGCGGGGACAGCGGGCGCGGCCCCGCCGGUACCGAGCGGCGCCCCCCGCCCCACCCGGUGCCAAACACACACCGACAGCCGCGCACACACACCGACACGCGAUUUAACAGUUUUAUAACGACGGUACAAAAAUUUCCAUCAACGACUGGCUAAAACGGACGGACCUGGGGUGGGGAGCGGGUACCGGGACCGUCCCCAGCACCGGAGCAGGGGGCAGCGGGACUGCCCCGUCAAUGUGGAAGGGGACACCAGGAGCGCUGCACAGUCCCGGAGAUGGCCCCUGCAAGGGUAAUAACCGAACUGGGGGCAGCGCUGUGAUGCACCAGGAAGGCUCAGCCCUCACCGAGCCGGUGCACCGGAGUCAGAGCCUUGCCCAUAGUGAAGGCGUGACACCGGCAUGGCCAGCACCGUCCCGGGUCCCCUGGUAGGUCCUGGUGCCAGGCAGUGCCCAGUGAGCAGCCACAGCCAGCGCAUGGCAGUGGCUCUCUGGCUGGCGGGGGGGGCGACAGCUACAAAAAAUGGGUGUUUGGUCCUAAAUCGGUGGGGGAAAGCUGUACAAGGCGGCUGAACGGUGGCUCAGCCGUCGUUGGCGGUCACCAGCUGUCCCAUGCCCUCCCGGAUGUAGACCGACUGGAUCUCCUUCGUCUUGAGGCAGAAGUCACAGGCCCAGACGGCAGAGGCCUCCGUGGUGAGCAGCCCAUAGGCAUUCUCGGUCAUCCCCGUGCACUCUCGGUGGAACCACUUCUGGCAGGAGGCCUCGCAGAGGAUGGCGUCCUGGUCAUCGUUCACCUCAUUGCGACAGGCCCCGCAGGGGUACACGAGCCCUGGAGGCGGCUGGUGCCCCGAGGCGCUGCUGGCCUUGCCGGGGGGCGGCAGGGGGAGGCUGUUGGUCUCAGGGGUGCUGGCGCUGCGCCCGGCGCUGCUGGGGGCGAAGCCCGGCUGUGCCCCGUUGACGGUGGCGGGGGAGCCCGAGUGCUGCUCCUGGGCGAAGGUGCUGGGGGGAGGGUUCUUGCCCCCCUCUUCGCUGCUAGCAGGGAAGCUGGGAUCCGCCCCAGGGAAGGGACUGGCUGUGGGGGGCAGGGGUGGCAUGUUCUGCCCGGGGCGCUGCAUGGGCGAUUGUCCAAAGAGGUUGCUGGGCUGGCUGAAGCGCUGAGCCACUGCCGGGCCCCCGGGGGGGUUGAGGGCUGGCCCGGGUCCCAUGUCCCCCCGCGGGGGCUGCCCCAUAGUGGGGGACAUCAUGGGCCCGAAGCCGGCAACAGGCCCCUGCAUGAGCUGCCCCAUAGGGGGGCUGAAGUUCUGUCCAAGGGGCUGGCUGAAAGGCUGCCCGGCGAAGCUCAAGCCCCCCGGCUGCACGUAGUUUGGAUUCUGGGGGGGCAUGCUAAAGGCCGGG
rnacentral:lncRNA from 1 species